rnacentral:misc_RNA from 1 species
AAGUCGUAACAAGGUAACCGUAGGUGAACCUGCGGUUGGAUCAUUAUUUACACACACACGAUUUACGAUUGUGUGCUUCGACCCUGUGCAUUUUUAGUACUUGAUACGUGAUUGAGAGUGCUCGUACGUGCUCACGACAAUACAAUAAACUGAGAAGCAAAUCAAAACAACUUUUGACAACGGAUCUCUUGGCUCUC